AACUUUUCAUGGUAGAAGCAUUGUAGUCAAUGAGAUUUAUCUGAAGAGCGAUUGUUUCUAAUUGAAUACUUUUCCUAAUACACUGCCAUGAUGACUUGAAAAUAGUCAGCAUUGCCAACUUUUGACAGACUUUAUGGAGU